rnacentral:lncRNA from 1 species
UUGCCCUGCCAACUAGAUCGCCUCCUGCUUAGGAGGAACCAAUCAGGCCUUGAGUUCCCUCCACGUGCCGCCCUUCCAUUUGUGAUGGGGGAGUCCAGGCACUGGCUCACAAGGCCCCGCCCCCACAGCUGCCCUGCCCCACCUUUCAUUCAUUGAUAGCUUCCAGCAACUUUCAGCUUUCCUCAUUGUGAAUUAUGACUAUGAGCUAUUUUAAAAUUACUGUAACCCAACGUGCUUCAUGCACUCUCUGGGAUCCAAAGGAUCCUCUUUCCACCAUGGCUUGUGAAGGUUUUCGAAACUGGAAAGAAGACAGAUUUCUGCAGGUUAUGGGAAGGCACCGAUAGAAGCAGAGGAGACAAGAAGAGGAAGAGAGGGAGAGGGAAUGAAUAUUUGAUGGAACAUCCUGGGAUAGGUGAAAGAGAGCUGAACAACUAGAUAAGGUCUUAAAUUUAUGUCUUCUUUUGGCUUAAGAAAUGUCAAAAUCGAAAUGUUUUACUUUGUGACCACUGUUUUCAAAAUGUAAUUCCAAAAUAAACUCUUAAGAAACCUAAAUAUUUUGAAUAAAAUGAAGUUCAUGUACCUCUAAUUUAAAUGCAAAACAAUAUAAUAUUACUUGAAGGAGACAAAUGACAUAUGGGAUGAUAAU